AUUGACAUACACCUCUGAGACCUAGAAAAAAAAUCCAUCAGAUCCUUCACCUACAUAGAAGCGGCGCAAACACGGGAGCUUCUUUCUUCUUCUACAAUUUCUCUCCAAAACAUACAAAGGGAAAUAAUCCCUCCUCCAUGAAAUUUCAUGAGGUCAUCUGUUGGACAUAAGCUUGCACUCAAAACUAGCAAUAAAAAUUGACACCCUAAGCUAGACCCAAGACUCAAAAAUUGGCAGACCCUUCAUGCUCCCCUUUCCGAUUCAUCUUCUUCAUGCUCUCAAUUGAAGAAAAAAGCAAAUACGCCUAAUCCCAUCAUCUCUCUCAACUUGAAAAGCAAACAUUCGCCGCCGCUGCCACCUCCGACAAGCUAACCGGUGAGCCAUCGAGUUCCCCUGCUUUCUCUCCUUCCCUUAUUCCUUCACUAUCACUCACACAUCAUAAAGAGCUCACCGGAUCCGCUCCAGAUUUGGACAAAAACUCGCCAUUGUUGCCUCGCCUCAUCACUCUCUAGAUCUGGCCGGUUUCACCUUACUGGUUCCCAUCAAAGUCCGUGGCCGACUGAAAUUCCGGCACACUCCCUGCUUUCCGGCGACCUUUCCUUGCUUUGUGUUUUCUAACCCUGAAGUGCUGGUUUGGGGUUCUGCUCGCUGUUUUUUUUUUUGCUCGUUUCCGGAUUAUGUUGAUGAAAGUUCACUUUGGCUAUCAAAACGAUAUUGUGUUGUACAAAUUCGCCUUUUGAGUAUUGAAGAAAGUUGAUUGAUUUGAGGUAUCUGUUGGAUCCUAUCAAAUGUGAAGUUCAACUUGAAGCAUGUUAAUUGAAUGUGGAGACCUAGCAUUAAUAUCAGUUGAUGUAAUUUGGAAUCUACCUUUGUUUUAUGCAUUUCAGUAGUUGAUUCUAUAAUUUGUUCUUGUAUUCACUCAUUCUGUUGAUAAUAGGUUUCAUGCUAGUUUUGUAUCUAGACUUUAACUUAUCAUGAUAUUGGUUUGGCUAGAACUU